rnacentral:tRNA from 1 species
GGGCGAAUGGCUCAGUGGUAGAGCAUCCGCUUUGCAUUCGACUAGCGUCGAUAGCACCUUGCGGAAGGUCCAGGUUUCGAUCACCUGUUCGUCCA